UUUUUGGUCGUAUAUUGGUAUCAUGUUGGCGUCGUCGUCGUCGUCGUCCGAAUACUUUUAGUUUUCGCACUCUAACUUUAGUAAAAGUGAAUAGAAAUCUAUGAAAUUUUAACACAAGGUUUAUGACCACAAAAGGAAGGUUGGGAUUGAUUUUGGGAGUUUUGGUCCCAACAUUUUAGGAACUAGGGGCCAAAAAGGGCCCAAAUAAGCAUUUUCUUGGUUUUCGCACUAUAACUUUAGUUUAAGUAAAUAGAAAUCUAUGAAAUUUUGACACAAGGUUUAUGACCACAAAAGGAAGGUUGGGAUUGAUUUUUGGAGUUUUAGUUCCAACAGUUUAGGAAUUAAGGGCAAAAAAAAGGGCCAAA
rnacentral:lncRNA from 1 species